GUCCUGUUUCCAGACAUGAAUACAUCAGCAGACCGAUCUACAGUCUUACUUUGUACAGUGCUGGUCUGACUGGCUGUCUGAGGUCCAGGUCUUGUUCUGGUCUGACUGGCUGUCUGAGGUCCAGGUAUUGUUCUGGAUCUGGACAUCAGCUCCUCCUUCUUCUCUCUGUGGAGACAUUACUUUAUUACUAAAAUGAUUUGCUGAUUGUUGGUGAAGAAUAUCAAGACCUGGCCGAUAACGUCUAGAAGCUCAGAUGGUCACAGAGAAGAGUUCAAGUGUUGUUACUUUUCUGUUUGGAUUCAGCAUUCAGUCUGUGAUGAAAAUGUUCCUUUAUUUUAACUCUCCUGCUUUAAUAAACAAGAAUUAGCUGUUUUUCCUGUCUGACUGUCUUAUUGAACAUUUAGUGAUCUGACUGAAGUUUGUCUAUUAAAGAGGAACAACGGCCAUUUUUAAAACAUUAAUAUCAUUUUGGAGGCUAAAUAA